rnacentral:rRNA from 1 species
UGGUCCUACGGGGGGCAGCAGUGGGGGAUAUUGGACAAUAGGGGGAACCCUGAUCCAGCGACGCCGCGUGAGUGAAGAAGUAUUUCGGUAUGUAAAGCUCUGUCAGCAGGGAAGAAAGAAAUGACGGUACCUGACCAAGAAGCCCCGGCUAACUACGUGCCAGCAGCCGCGGUAAUACGGAGGAUGCGAGCGUUAUCCGGAUUUAUUGGGUUUAAAGGGUGCGUAGGCGGAAUAUCAAGUCAGCGGUAAAAAUUCGGGGCUCAACCCCGUCGUGCCGUUGAAACUGAUGUUCUUGAGUGGGCGAG